AGUGAACGCUGGCGGUAGGCUUAACACAUGCAAGUCGAACGGCAGCACAGUAAGAGCUUGCUCUUACGGGUGGCGAGUGGCGGACGUGUGAGGAAUACAUCGGAAUCUACCUUUUCGUGGGGGAUAACGUAGGGAAACCUACGAUAAUACCGCAUACGACCUACGGGUGAAAGCAGGGGAUCUUCGGACCUUGCGCGAUUGAAUGCGCCGAUGUCGGAUUAGCUAGUUGGCGGGGUAAAGGCCCGCCAAGGCGACGAUCCGUAGCCGGUCUGAGAGGAGGGUCCGCCACACUGGAACGGGGACACGGUCCAGACUCCUACGGGAGGCAGCAGUGGGGAAUAUUGGACAAUGGGCGCAAGCCUGAUCCAGCCAUACCGCGUGGGUGAAGAAGGCCUUCGGGUUGUAAAGCCCUUUUGUUGGGAAAGAAAAGCAGCAGGUUAAUACCCCGCUGUUCUGACGGUACCCAAAGAAUAAGCACCGGCUAACUUCGUG
rnacentral:rRNA from 1 species